UUAUAUUUUUUUAAUAAAUUGUUAAAUUAAUUAGUUUUAUUAAUUUAUUUGGGACUUAAAAACUAAGAUACCGAUGAAAUAAACAGUUAAUUUUUAAUUGGUACUCCAAUAUGAAAGAAAAAAUGCUUACAAAAAACAUUGACUGAUGAAGAUUAAAAGAGGAUUCAGAUACACAAAUCAAGUCAAAUCAUAAGUUCUUAAAGCCAAAUUUCAAUUUACGUGUAAAGUAUUGACAAGUUGGAAAAUGUGGAAGAAAGUAUGGUGAAAACUCAAGAAGAACUUGUUAAAAAGUUGCAAGAUGCUAAUAAUAUCUAACUACAGAAACUCAAUGUUUUAAAAAAAAUUUUAACAUGAAUUAAAAUCCACACUCAGCCAUUUUUUAUAGUUGGCCAACAGCUGAAUCGUCUAUGAGUCAUGUAAGAAGGCAAACCGUCCUGCCAUUGCCAUCAACGCUGCAUGAAUAUUAGUACGAUAUUUACAGGUAUCAGUGUUAUAAUUCUCAGUUUUACCAAGAGUGGGUUGUUGACAAUGCUGACAUUACAAUAUUAUGUAUGCAUAUCAGGAGUUGAUUAGUGCUGUGGUUCAUCAAGGAGUCACAGAACUACUUGCAGAUGAACGUUUAAGGUAGUUCUAUAACCUUCAUUUAAUUUUGCGAAACUAUGUAAGUCCAUACCUAUAUGCAUUAUGCUUAUGGAAGCAAAAAUUAAGGCUUCCUAUAGGAAAGUUAUGGAUUGGUUCAAAAUUAAAUUUCCUGAAUUUAAGCCUUUGAUCAUUAUGAUCGAUUUUUUGAAUUAGCCCUCUGUAAUGGUUUUCUUGAUGUAUAUCCUGAAGCUCAGAUUAUUGCAUGUUCCACUUUGUACAGAUUUUACAGAAAAACAUUUUAAAAAAUGGGUUAUUCAGGAUACAUUUAGCAAAUACGAGAGGCAAAAAUGUAUUUAAAAAUGUGUACAGUGUUGGCUCUAUUGCCUGCUUAUCAAAUUGAGCAAGGAUUUCACGAAGUGAAAAAUUAUGCCCAAACUAAUGAAGCUUAAUUACCAAUUUUUAGCUUAUAAGAAAAGAUCCAGAGUGUUUUUCUGUGUACGGUCAACUACAUUGCUCAAACAACAAUGUAAAACUUUCACUUUCACAAUCUUUUACUCAACACUGAAAUAAACUUUCCAUGGGAUGCACCCAAAUUUGUGGACAAUGUUGAGUGAGUUAUUUCAAUCUAAAAAAUUGUUUAGAUAAUAUUUAAGUAUGAUCUUAAUUUAAAAUUUCAUAAAAAACAAAUAAAAGG